ensembl:snRNA U6 U6 spliceosomal RNA
GUGCUUGCUUUGGCAGCACAGGUACUGAAAUUAGAACCACACAGGGAAGGUUAGCACGGCCCCUGCUGAAGGAUGACCUGCAAAUUCAGGAAGUCUUCCACGUUUUU